rnacentral:piRNA from 1 species
GCCAUCUGCCCUGGUGGAAUGCCUCGUCAAG